ACACCAAGCAAACCCAACACCACCACUGAAACUCUCUCUAACUCUACCCUCUCUCUUCUCUACUUAUCUGUUCAGCCACAUAAAAACACCCAAAGAUCUAAUUCAACACUUUACUACAAUCAAUAUACUUCCCUAACUGAAAAGAUGACUCUGCCGAUUAAAGUUCCUAUACCGAUGUUUUGAAUUGAGCAAACUUUUAACCGACAAACUGCAUCACUCUUCUACAUAUGUAAGUCGAUGUGAUCCUUGAAUUGUAGCCAUUUUUUGAGUGUUUAUUUUUUGGUGUCUAAUCCGUAUAUACAUCACCAUUGCUCUUGAUUUUCUUGACUGUAUAUCUCUUAAAUGUCAACAUAUACACGUGUUCAACACCCUAGUCACAGGUCCACUCAGGGCGGCCCUCUGCACUAGACAAAAGGAAACAAACAGCCCCUGAACAGUGGCGACAAUGGUUGAGUUGUUCGAAGGUGCAACGGUGACGAUAAUGGCCCCCGGGUUCAGAUCGGAGACUGCGCAACCUAUUUUCGGUGGUUUAAUGUCACCAGAGUCUCAAUCUACUGUUACGGUAGGGUUACCGACCUCUUUCCAUCCACAAUUUUUGUUAUUUCUGGCGUUUAAGGACGUUUCCGUCGUCUUAGGGGCACUACUCGUGGUUGCCGGAGGUUGGGUGGUGGUGGUUGUGGCUGGUAGCCGAGAAAAGGGUAGAGAGGGAGUUGAGUGAGACGAAGAGAUAGGGAUUUAUCUUUUCUUCUUUUAUAAUUUUAGAAAAAUCUUUUUGUUGUAUUUUUUAAAUUCAUUUUAAAUAAAAGGUGUCAAAAGAUAUAAAUUCCCUCA